rnacentral:misc_RNA from 1 species
GGGAAGAUGGAUACAGCACUUCGUUAUCUCCAAGAAGCAUUGAAAAAGAAUGAACGGUUGCUUGGGGAGGAACAUAUUCAGACUGCUGUUUGUUAUCAUGCUCUGGCAAUUGCGUUCAACUGUAUGGGUGCUUUCAAGCUUUCGCACCAGCAUGAAAAGAAAACUUAUGAUAUACUAGCCAAACAGCUGGGAGAGGAGGAUUCAAGGACACGCGAUUCUCAGAACUGGAUGAAAACAUUUAAGAUGCGUGAGCUGCAGAUGAAUGCACAAAAGCAGAAAGGUCAAUCUCUGAAUGUGGCUUCUGCACAGAAGGCUUAUGAUAUUUUAAAGGCUCAUCCAAGCUUGUUACACGCAUUUCAAGCUGCCGCUGGAGGUACUGGUAUUGGUGGAAUGAACCAAUCAUUAAGUUCUGCAGUACUUGGUGAUGGGCUUCCUCGGGGAAGAGGAGUUGAUGAAAGAGCUGCACGAGCUGCUGCUGAAGUACGGAAAAAAGCUGCAGCAAGGGGUCUUCUUGUACGUCCCAGUGGUGUUCCUGCAUCAUCUUUACCUCCUCUUACCCAGCUACUCAAUGUAAUAAAUUCUGGCACAACACCGGAUGCUGCAAAUCCUAGUGGAACUAAUGAAGAAAAGAAAGAAGCAAACAGUAAUUCUUCUAAUGGAUCUGGAGAUGCCCAAGCAGACUUAUCCAAAGCAGGGGAACAAGAUCAAACUCCUGUUGGUUUAGGGACAGGUUUGGGGGCGUUGGAUACCAAGAAGCAAAAAUCAAAAGUGAAAGCUGCAUCUUGAAGUGUAUAUUGCGGAAUGUACUAACAAACAUGUCAAUGGCCAGUUCUAGCAUAUCAUGGAUUUUCGCUUGCAGCCACCUCAUGCUUCAGGUACUCACUGCACGGGUGAACGCUUAUACUUCUAUUCCAUUCUUACAAUAAGUCUCAUGGAGAUUUAAGUAUUCGAGCUGUAGUUCCUCUCAUCUUGAUUAUUAUUGCUGAGAUGACAUAACUUGUAGGCCUAGUUUUGAGAAGAUAGGUUUAGUAUGCAUUAUUUUGGUGUUUUGAAUAAUGUUAAGUAGAGAGGUCCAUCAUCUGUUUUGGGUGUUGAUGUCAUCCUAAAAUUUUUGACCUUUAUUCAUUCCCAUUACCUCGUGAGUGAAGCUGCCCACCCAUUUCAGUUGAAAGGUGCUCUUUCUUGGACACUUUAUCGUUUCUGGUUAAAGUUAGACUUUC